rnacentral:lncRNA from 1 species
AUCGACACCAAAAAAGAGAUGUGAAUUAGCUUUUCUGACUGGAUAUCUUUUGAAGAUUUUUGUAUGAAAUUGCUUAUAGAUUUUACUUCUUGUGAUAGAAGAUCACAAAGUCUACAAUACUCUUGGAGUUGGAAUAGUCAUUUUGAUGAUAUGAUCAAAUUGUUUGAUCAGAAAAGAAGAAUUAUAUGUUUUCAAAAGGGUUAGUGGGAG